rnacentral:rRNA from 2 species
UAGGUCGGAUUAGCUAGUUGGUGAGGUAAAGGCUCACCAAGGCGACGAUCCGUAACUGGUCUGAGAGGAUGAUCAGUCACACUGGAACUGAGACACGGUCCAGACUCCUACGGGAGGCAGCAGUGGGGAAUAUUGGACAAUGGGCGAAAGCCUGAUCCAGCCAUGCCGCGUGUGUGAAGAAGGUCUUCGGAUUGUAAAGCACUUUAAGUUGGGAGGAAGGGCAGUAAGUUAAUACCUUGCUGUUUUGACGUUACCAACAGAAUAAGCACCGGCUAACUUCGUGCCAGCAGCCGCGGUAAUACGA